rnacentral:rRNA from 1 species
AGAAUGAACGUUGGCGGCGUGGAUUAGGCAUGCAAGUCGAGCGAGACUUCCCCGCAAGGGGAGGUAAAGCGGCGAAAGGGAGAGGACAGCGUAGGUACCUACCCUCGGGACUGGGAUAGCCACGAGAAAUCGUGGGUAAUACCAGAUGACGUCUUUGGACCAAAGGUGUGAUUCCGCCCGGGGAGGGGCCUACGUCCUAUUAGCUAGUUGGUGGGGUAACGACCUACCAAGGCAUUGAUGGGUACGGGGUGUGAGAGCAUGCCCCCGCUCACUGGGACUGAGACACUGCCCAGACACCUACGGGUGGCUGCAGUCGAGGAUCUUCGGCAAUGGGCGCAAGCCUGACCGAGCGACGCCGCGUGCGGGAUGAAGGCCUUCGGGUUGUAAACCGCCGUCAGAGAGGAGGAAAUAUUAGAGGGUAAUCUCUCUAGUUUGACCUAUUCUCAGAGGAAGGACGGGCUAAGUUCGUGCCAGCAGCCGC